rnacentral:rRNA from 1 species
GACGAACUGUCCUAACGUUGUUCGGAAUCACUGGGCUUAAAGGGCGCGUAGGCGGUCCGACAAGUCAGGGGUGAAAUCCUGCAGCUUGACUGUAGAAGUGCCUUUGAUACUGUCGGUCUUGAGGGAGAUAGGGGUGUGCGGAACUUCCAGUGGAGCGGUGAAAUGCGUUGAUAUUGGAAGGAACGCCGGAGGCGAAAGCGGCGCACUGGAUCUCUUCUGACGCUGAGGCGCGAAAGCUAGGGGAGCAAACGGG